CCUUCGGGCUUAGCGGCGGACGGGGUUAGUAACGCGUGGGAACGUGCCCUUCACUACGGAAUAGUCCUGGGAAACUGGGUUUAAUACCGUAUACGCCCUUCGGGGGAAAGAAUUUCGGUGAAGGAUCGGCCCGCGUUAGAUUAGAUAGUUGGUGGGGUAACGGCCUACCAAGUCUACGAUCUAUAGCUGGUUUUAGAGGAUGAUCAGCAACACUGGGACUGAGACACGGCCCAGACUCCUACGGGAGGCAGCAGUGGGGAAUCUUGGACAAUGGGCGCAAGCCUGAUCCAGCCAUGCCGCGUGAGUGAUGAAGGCCUUAGGGUCGUAAAGCUCUUUCGCCAGGGAUGAUAAUGACAGUACCUGGUAAAGAAACCCCGGCUAACUCCGUGCCAGCAGCCGCGGUAAUACGGAGGGGGUUAGCGUUGUUCGGAAUUACUAGGCGUAAAGCGCACGUAGGCGGACUGGAAAGUUGGGGGUGAAAUCCCGGGGCUCAACCCCGGAACGGCCUCCAAAACUAUCAGUCUAGAGUUCGAGAGAGGUGAGUGGAAUUCCGAGUGUAGAGGUGAAAUUCGUAGAUAUCCGGAGGAACACCAGUGGCGAAGGCGGCUC
rnacentral:rRNA from 1 species